UCUGGUAUUUUUUGACCGGAUAUGGUUCUUAAGUUGACUGGAGCUGGCAGCUUCCUUAGUGUCCCUCUGGAGAAAACGUUGGUGUAUUGAUGCAAUUGGAGUAUUUUCUCCUAUUUCAGGACAGUGAAUACAUCACUGGCUAUCUCUGCCUAAAGAUGAAGCUCUAAGGUGGACUUGAAGUUCAUGGAUUCCCCCAGUGCUGCUCUCACAGCCACGUUUUCAAGCUGGUGUUCUGGUAGCCAUUGCACUGAUGUUGAAAGCUGGCAAAAUCAAAGAGUGAAACCACAGGACCCACCACGUCCCGUACCAAAAUCUUCCAAAAUCCGCUGUUCUGUGUCCCUCUGCAUCUGAACCUUCCAUGUCUUUAUCUGGAGUACCUUCGUUCAACUCCAGGGCGCAGCACCCGUGCCUUUGGGGAAGUUCAGUCGGUUUCUUUGAACUGAAAGUGAGCCACACGCUUGGCUGGGAGCGCUGAGGAGCCCUGGAGGAGCCCCGGAGCCUGCCGUGCCCCCGCUCCGCGGGCAGAGGAGGGAAGGAGCCCCGAGCAGGGCGAUGCUCCCUCCCUGCCAGCUCACAUCUUCACCCCAGAGAUGGAGGAGAGCUCUCACUGCCCCAGGGAAGGGGGGAAUGCUGAAGCACGAAGCCAGAAAUGUCUCCGUGGCUGUAUGCACGUACCAGCUAGCGAUCACAGGCAGCCAGCUGGAGACGGCUCUUACCACCACAGUUUUGGCCCAUUUAAUUUAUUUUUGUUAUUGUUAAAAACGGUACACACAAACACGGGGAGUUUGUGUAUCAAUCCUCAGUGAAAAGAGAUUCUUCCCUUCCCCCCACCCCCUGCCCCAGAUUAAGUUCACCAACGUCCUCUUUGUAAAUUUAGCAAGCUUCAGACUCACUUCCUUUUGUCAGGAGACCUGAAAGAGCCAUUUCCUGAUUCGUACAGGGCUCUUGUAUGCGCACACUAAGUGCUCAUUCAUGCCGUGAAUCAUAAAGGUAACCUCAGUUCAAAGCACUGCGCUGAUACUUCGGCGUGGGACCAAAAGAAAAAAAAAAGAGAGAGAGAGAGAGAAAAAAGAGUUUUGUAAUUCAGCGCAGCGCGCGUUGAAGUCAUCUUUGCAUUUACUGAGGAGCGGCGCCAGGGGGGUUUUGCUCUUCUGUCUAAAAGGCAUCGUUUACAAACUGGCUGCACUAAAACGGGCUGGUGAAAGCACCAAAGCCAGCCCAAAGGAUUAUGUUUACUGUCGUGUGCCAGGCUUGACACAUUUUUCAUAUCCUGCCAGAGACGAGGAAUGGCAUCAGGAGCUGCCGCUGAGUCAGGCCGGGCCCCGGCUGGGCUCAGCACGGCGCCUCUCACCGAGCUCCGUGAUGGGGCUGGGGAAAACUCAGCUCUGCCACGAGCGAAGGACUCACUCUCCUGCCUGAGGUUCACUGGCAGGUCAGCGAGGCACGGUCUGUUGUGUUUAUCUCCCCUGUAUUCGCCUCCGGGUUCAUCUGACAAUGAAAGGGAUGAGCUGUUUCUGGCUGAAAGAAGAAAGAAAUGUGCGCUACUCGCCUCUCUCUAUCCCUGCCAAGAGGGAGCGCCAGCCAAUUCAUACAUAACAUUGGAGUCUUCUGCCAUUUAGCAGCUUUUGCACAGCAUCCAACUGUACAAGGACACGUCCCUGGGGUCAAACAAACUUUGGCUGUACUUCUGCCUUGAUGAAGUAAGAUCAGUAUGAUCUCUCCCUGUUCGAGAGAGCAAAAUACACAGAUGCUAAAAUCAGCAACUGUGUUUUGACCAAGAAAACAGUAAAGGGGAAGGAGGCUUAGCUUGUGGUAAAAAAGAGGUAACAUAAAUGCAAGUCCAUCCUCUUUUACUACCACAACCCUUCUUGAACUCUUAAAAAGGCCAGAUAUUCACCAGUUGCUUUUAACCAUGAUUGCUUUUGCAGUACUGUCCUAUUUCCAGAUGAGGUUAGCCUGCUAAGGAGAGUCUCUUGUUUGAGGAAUGUUAGAGGAGCAGUGGUGUAAAAGCACUCUGCCCUGGGCUAGUCAGCCCGGGGUGACUCACACCCAAAAGUAACAGAACUAUGGGAGCAAAAAACCCAAAUGAUUUUAGGCUCCCAGUGGGUGAGGUAAAGUGCAACAUAGAUGUGCAGGUAGAACUCUACAUACCUCAGGCCACAAGGCUCUGAACUAAGAUUGUGAUGUGCUGUGAUCAAAGCCUGAUUUUUGUCCUGGAAGGCUACUACCAUGAGCAAAUCCAUAGCCACCACUUGUAAGUAAACUGCAAUAAAUAAAAUCACAACCACAAA